rnacentral:rRNA from 1 species
UGGGGAAUUUUGGACAAUGGGCGAAAGCCUGAUCCAGCAAUGCCGCGUGUGUGAAGAAGGCCUUCGGGUUGUAAAGCACUUUUGUCCGGAAAGAAAUCCUUGGCUCUAAUACAGUCGGGGGAUGACGGUACCGGAAGAAUAAGCACCGGCUAACUACGUGCCAGCAGCCGCGGUAAUACGUAGGGUGCAAGCGUUAAUCGGAAUUACUGGGCGUAAAGCGUGCGCAGGCGGUUUGCUAAGACCGAUGUGAAAUCCCCGGGCUCAACCUGGGAACUGCAUUGGUGACUGGCAGGCUAGAGUAUGGCAGAGGGGGGUAGAAUUCCACGUGUAGCAGUGAAAUGCGUAGAGAUGUGGAGGAAUACCGAUGGCGAAGGCAGCCCCCUGGGCCAAUACUGACGCUCAUGCACGAAAGCGUGGGGAGCAAACAGGAUUAGAUACCCUGGUAGUCCACGCCCUAAACGAUGUCAACUAGUUGUUGGGGAUUCAUUUCCUUAGUAACGUAGCUAACGCGUGAAGUUGACCGCCUGGGGGGUACGGUCG